rnacentral:tRNA from 1 species
GCCCGGUUAGCUCAGUUGGUAGAGCAUAAGACUUUUAAUCUGAGGGCCAUGGGUUCGAGUCCCAUAUCGGGCU